GGUGGAGCGAUUUGUCUGGUUUAUUCCGAUAACGAACGAGACUCUAGCCUGCUAAAUAGUUCGCCGAUUGUCUAAUCUGUCGGCGUUAACUUCUUAGAGGGACAAGUGGCGUUUAGCCGAAAGAAAUUGAGCAAUAACAGGUCUGUGAUGCCCUUAGAUGUCCGGGGCUGCACGCGCGCUACACUGGCAAAAUCAACGUGCUUGUCCUUCCCCGAAAGGGGCGGGUAAACCAUUGAAAAUUUGCCGUGAUUGGGAUCGGAAAUUGCAAUUAUUUUCCGUGAACGAGGAAUUCCAAGUAAGUGCGAGUCAUCAGCUCGCGUUGAAUACGUCCCUGCCCUUUGUAC
rnacentral:rRNA from 1 species